UACGGAGGGUGCAAGCAUUAAUCGGAAUUAUUGGGCGUAAAGGGCGCGUAGGCGGAUUUAUAAGUCAGAUGUGAAAUUCCGGGACUCAAUUCCGGAGCUGCAUUUGAAACUAUAGAACUAGAGGGAUGGCGGAGAAAACGGAAUUCCACGUGUAGCGGUGAAAUGCGUAGAUAUGUGGAAGAACACCUGUGGCGAAAGCGGUUUUCUAGCUAUAACCUGACGCUGAGGCGCGAGAGCAAGGGGAG
rnacentral:rRNA from 1 species